AGUGAACGCUGGCGGUAGGCCUAACACAUGCAAGUCGAACGGCAGCACAGUAAGAGCUUGCUCUUACGGGUGGCGAGUGGCGGACGGGUGAGGAAUACAUCGGAAUCUACUUUUUCGUGGGGGAUAACGUAGGGAAACUUACGCUAAUACCGCAUACGACCUACGGGUGAAAGCAGGGGAUCUUCGGACCUUGCGCGAUUGAAUGAGCCGAUGUCGGAUUAGCUAGUUGGCGGGGUAAAGGCCCACCAAGGCGACGAUCCGUAGCUGGUCUGAGAGGAUGAUCAGCCACACUGGAACUGAGACACGGUCCAGACUCCUACGGGAGGCAGCAGUGGGGAAUAUUGGACAAUGGGCGCAAGCCUGAUCCAGCCAUACCGCGUGGGUGAAGAAGGCCUUCGGGUUGUAAAGCCCUUUUGUUGGGAAAGAAAGGCAGCAGGUUAAUACCCCGCUGUUCUGACGGUACCCAAAGAAUAAGCACCGGCUAACUUCG
rnacentral:rRNA from 1 species